GAUGAACGCUGGCGGCGUGCCUAAUACAUGCAAGUCGAGCGAACGGACGAGAAGCUUGCUUCUCUGAUGUUAGCGGCGGACGGGUGAGUAACACGUGGAUAACCUACCUAUAAGACUGGGAUAACUUCGGGAAACCGGAGCUAAUACCGGAUAAUAUUUUGAACCGCAUGGUUCAAAAGUAAAAGACGGUCUUGCUGUCACUUAUAGAUGGAUCCGCGCUGCAUUAGCUAGUUGGUAAGGUAACGGCUUACCAAGGCAACGAUGCAUAGCCGACCUGAGAGGGUGAUCGGCCACACUGGAACUGAGACACGGUCCAGACUCCUACGGGAGGCAGCAGUAGGGAAUCUUCCGCAAUGGGCGAAAGCCGGACGGAGCAACGCCGCGUGAGUGAUGAAGGUCUUCGGAUCGUAAAACUCUGUUAUUAGGGAAGAACAUAUGUGUAAGUAACUGUGCACAUCUUGACGGUACCUAAUCAGAAAGCCACGGCUAACUACGUG
rnacentral:rRNA from 1 species